CCUCUUAGAGAUGAUGAGAUUCUCUCCUAUCUCUUUGCGGGGCUGUCGGUUGAUUAUGACCCCUUCGUUACGUCGAUGACCACCAAGAAUGAAGAGCUCUCCUUCGACGUCUUCUCGCAUCUCCUGGUUUUUGAAG
rfam:Zea mays cultivar B73 chromosome 1, whole genome shotgun sequence.